UAGCUAGUUGGUGAGGUAACGGCUUACCAAGGCGACGAUCUGUAGCGGGUCUGAGAGGAUGAUCCGCCACACUGGAACUGAGACACGGUCCAGACUCCUACGGGAGGCAGCAGUGGGGAAUUUUGGACAAUGGGGGCAACCCUGAUCCAGCCAUGCCGCGUGAGUGAAGAAGGCCUUCGGGUUGUAAAGCUCUUUCGGCCGGGAAGAAAUCGCAUGGGCCAAUACCCUGUGUGGAUGACGGUACCGGAAUAAGAAGCACCGGCUAACUACGUGCCAGCAGCCGCGGUAAUACGUAGGGUGCGAGCGUUAAUCGGAAUUACUGGGCGUAAAGCGUGCGCAGGCGGUUUUGUAAGACAGGCGUGAAAUCCCCGGGCUCAACCUGGGAACUGUGUUUGUGACUGCAAGGCUAGAGUACGGCAGAGGGGGGUGGAAUUCCACGUGUAGCAGUGAAAUGCGUAGAGAUGUGGAGGAACACCAAUGGCGAAGGCAGCCCCCUGGGUCGAUACUGACGCUCAUGCACGAAAGCGUGGGUAGCAAACAGGAUUAGAUACCCUGGUAGUCCACGCCCUAAACUAUGUCAACUAGGUGUUGGGUGGGUAAAACCAUUUAGUACCGUAGCUAACGCGUGAAGUUGACCGCCUGGGGAGUACGGCCGCAAGGUUAAAACUCAAAGGAAUUGACGGGGACCCGCACAAGCGGUGGAUGAUGUGGAUUAAUUCGAUGCAACGCGAAAAACCUUACCUACCCUUGACAUGCCAGGAACUUGCCAGAGAUGGCUUGGUGCCCGAAAGGGAGCCUGGACACAGGUGCUGCAUGGCUGUCGUCAGCUCGUGUCGUGAGAUGUUGGGUUAGGUCCCGCAACGAGCGCAACCCUUGUCGUUAAUUGCCAUCAUUUAGUUGGGCACUUUAGCGAGACUGCCGGUGACAAACCGGAGGAAGGUGGGGAUGACGUCAAGUCCUCGUGGCCCUUAUGGGUAGGGCUUCACACGUCAUACAAUGGUCGGUACAGAGGGUCGCCAAGCCGCGAGGUGGAGCCAAUCCCAGAAAGCCGAUCGUAGUCCGGAUUGCAGGCUGCAACUCGCCUGCAUGAAGUCGGAAUCGCUAGUAAUCGUGGAUCAGCAUGUCACGGUGAAUACGUUCCCGGGUCUUGUACACACCGCCCGUCACACCAUGGGAGCGGGUUCCGCCAGAAGUAGGUAGCCUAACCGCAAGGAGGGCGCUUACCACGGCGGGGUUCGUGACUGGGGUGAAGUCGUAACAAGGUAGCCGUAGGGGAACCUGCGGCUG
rnacentral:rRNA from 1 species